CCUACGGGUGGCAGCAGUGGGGAAUAUUGCACAAUGGGGGAAACCCUGAUGCAGCGACGCCGCGUGAGUGAAGAAGUAAUUCGUUACGUAAAGCUCUAUCAGCAGGGAAGAAAUACUGACCUUACGGUCAGCAGACGGUACCUGAGUAAGAAGCCCCGGCUAACUACGUGCAAGCAGCCGCGGUAAUACGGAGGGGGCAAGCGUUAUCCGGAUUUACUGGGGGUAAAGGGAGCGUAGACGGCAGGGCAAGUCUGGAGUGAAAGGCGGGGGCUCAACCCCCGGACUGCGCUGGAAACUGUACGGCUGGAGUGCAGGAGAGGUAAGUGGAAUGCCUAGUGUAGCGGUGAAAUGCGUAGAUAUUAGGAGGAACCCCAGUGGCGAAGGCGGCUUACUGGACUGUAACUGACGUUGAGGCUCGAAAGCGUGGGGAGCAAACAGGAUUAGAUACCCGGGUAGUC
rnacentral:rRNA from 1 species